rnacentral:rRNA from 1 species
GAUGAACGCUGGCGGCGUGCCUAAUACAUGCAAGUCGAGCGAACAGAUAAGGAGCUUGCUCCUUUGACGUUAGCGGCGGACGGGUGAGUAACACGUGGGUAACCUACCUAUAAGACUGGGAUAACUUCGGGAAACCGGAGCUAAUACCGGAUAACAUUUGGAACCGCAUGGUUCUAAAGUGAAAGAUGGUUUUGCUAUCACUUAUAGAUGGACCCGCGCCGUAUUAGCUAGUUGGUAAGGUAACGGCUUACCAAGGCGACGAUACGUAGCCGACCUGAGAGGGUGAUCGGCCACACUGGAACUGAGAAACGGUCCAGACUCCUAAGGGAGGCAGCAGUAGGGAAUCUUCCGCAAUGGGCGAAAGCCUGACGGAGCAACGCCGCGUGAGUGAUGAAGGGUUUCGGCUCGUAAAACUCUGUUAUUAGGGAAGAACAAAUGUGUAAGUAACUGUGCACGUCUUGACGGUACCUAAUCAGAAAGCCACGGCUAACUACGUG